UAAAUACCAAUGGUCAGCAUCCAUGUUUGUCCUCUGCUUCUCUAAUGAUGCAGAAAUGCCAGCAACUUGGGGCUCACAACAAUACAGGCAGCCACUCCAAUUUGCCAGGACAUUGAGAUGAAUUCAUGCAGAGGAGAACCUGAGUCCUUGAUUGGCUUCUCAAACAAAGGGUUCACAUAGCCUAAUCAUGAAAAAGACACCAGACAAAUUCCAAUUGAAGGACAUUCUAGAGAAUACCUGACCAGAACUCCUCAAACCUGUCAAGAUGAUCAAAACCAAGGAAAAUCACAGACACUGUCAUGACCAAAAGGAGCCUAUGGAGACACAGCUACUAAAUAUAAUGUGGUUUCCUGGAUGGGAUCCUGGAAAGAGCCCAAGGGAAACAUAGCCAUGGGACAUCUUUCUUCAAUGAAGUCUACAUUUACAGCAACCAAGCGCACACAACUCCAUUUCCUGUUUAUGUAAGACUUCUUGCUACUGGAUGCAGGGAAAAUAUAUCCCUCUUAUUGGCUUUCCCAUAAAGGUAUCUCCCACUCACCAAUGCCCUAUUCUUUUCAGGUAAGAUUCAUUCACGUGACAACUGAUUACCAAAAGACUGUAUUGGGGCAAACCUCAUGUUUUUUGUGUCUUGUCAUUCUAUAGGGAGGGAAAUGUCUCUUGCCUAAUACUUCACUUUGUUCCAUGCCCACUGUGUUCCAUAGUUUGGGAAAGCAUACUUUAAAUCCAGCGUGGGAUCUGUUUGAGUGAUCCCUGGAUUUGUAUUGGUUUUGUUUUCUGAAGCAGGUUUGUCUUAGUGGGUGCCCUUUAGAGAUCACUUUUGUUAUAAAAUGAACCAAGAUUAAUAGCCAGCUCCAUGUCAUGUGUUUGCAUGUCUUCAGCUGACGAAUUUCAAAUGACCUUCUUGUUCUGCCAAUACAUUGUGGAGAUACCAUCACUGAAAGCCGGCCCUUGCUACUGCUGACUCUGUCAUAUGGGGAAGGGGACAGUGUGUAAUUCUGCCUGUGGUAAUCUGCUUGUGGCAGUGAUUUUAUAGCCUGCAAACUUUUGCUUAUUGUACCCAGAUGUUGUAUGAUACUUUGCCAAAAAUACAUCUUUUAAAGAAUCUGUCUUAACUCUUUGUUUUGAGAUAAUUUUAUGCUUACAAUAUUUGUCUCAUCAUGUUCUCUCUCUGUCUCUGUAUGUAAACAUUUUUGAACCAUUUGAGAGUAAGUUGCAAAGAAAAUACGCCAUUACCUUAGUGUACAAUUCCUAAAAAUAAGGGUAUUUUCUUACAAAACCAGAGUACAAUUUUCAAAAUCAGAACAUUUAUGUAAGUGCAGUUCUAUUAUCUAAUACAUAGACUUUAGUCAAGUUUUGUAAUUUUUUACUGGCCCAGGAUCAAUCUGGUAUUCAUGUUGCCCUUGGUUUUCUUGUCUCA
rnacentral:lncRNA from 1 species